CUUUAAGGGUCCUGAAGGAACGUUGAAGACGACGACGUUGAUAGGCCGGGUGUGUAAGCGCAGCGAUGUGUUGAGCUAACCGGUACUAAUGAACCGUGAGGCUUAACCUU
rnacentral:rRNA from 1 species